GGCGGCAUGCCUAACACAUGCAAGUCGAACGAAGGCUUCGGCCUUAGUGGCGCACGGGUGCGUAACGCGUGGGAAUCUACCCUUAGGUUCGGAAUAACAGUUGGAAACGACUGCUAAUACCGGAUGAUGACGUAAGUCCAAAGAUUUAUCGCCUAGGGAUGAGCCCGCGUAGGAUUAGCUAGUUGGUGUGGUAAAGGCGCACCAAGGCGACGAUCCUUAGCUGGUCUGAGAGGAUGAUCAGCCACACUGGGACUGAGACACGGCCCAGACUCCUACGGGAGGCAGCAGUGGGGAAUAUUGGACAAUGGGCGAAAGCCUGAUCCAGCAAUGCCGCGUGAGUGAUGAAGGCCUUAGGGUUGUAAAGCUCUUUUACCCGGGAUGAUAAUGACAGUACCGGGAGAAUAAGCUCCGGCUAACUCCGUGCCAGCAGCCGCGGUAAUACGGAGGGAGCUAGCGUUAUUCGGAAUUACUGGGCGUAAAGCGCACGUAGGCGGCUUUGUAAGUAAGAGGUGAAAGCCUGGUGCUCAACACCAGAACUGCCUUUUAGACUGCAUCGCUUGAAUCCAGGAGAGGUGAGUGGAAUUCCGAGUGUAGAGGUGAAAUUCGUAGAUAUUCGGAAGAACACCAGUGGCGAAGGCGGCUCACUGGACUGGUAUUGACGCUG
rnacentral:rRNA from 1 species